rnacentral:rRNA from 1 species
CCCAGACAGCCAGGAUGUUGGCUUAGAAGCAGCCAUCAUUUAAAGAAAGCGUAAUAGCUCACUGGUCGAGUCGGCCUGCGCGGAAGAUGUAACGGGGCUAAACCAUGCACCGAAGCUGCGGCAGCGACGCUUAUGCGUUGUUGGGUAGGGGAGCGUUCUGUAAGCCUGCGAAGGUGGCCUGUGAGGGUUGCUGGAGGUAUCAGAAGUGCGAAUGCUGACAUAAGUAACGAUAAAGCGGGUGAAAAGCCCGCUCGCCGGAAGACCAAGGGUUCCUGUCCAACGUUAAUCGGGGCAGGGUGAGUCGACCCCUAAGGC